GUACCACUAAGAACCCUGCCAAACAAGAUUUCCGCCGCCCAAACCUCUCCCUCCGCAACCAGAAGAAGAACCUCGCAGAUGCAUGAAACACUUUAUCCCACCUUCAUGAUCAUCUUCAUAUCUCUACUACUUGCUUCAUAGAAAAGGGGCUUAUUGUACUAAAUAAAUAUUCCAAUAAAAGAUGAUCAUUUUUACUAAUGAAUAUUUUAGUUUGAGUUCAAUCCCUUCUUACCGCUUCAGUUACGUUUUACUUUGGAUGAUUAGUGAUGUAGAGUGAGCUACGAUGACACUAGAAUAUUCUUUAGUCAGAGAAUUCCUAUGAUGAAUGUCUUAUUUUAAUCGUUGAAAACACCAAGGAUUAAAGAACACCAAUGUAGUGAAGAUGGACGUUUAAGGGGAGAAGGAGGCUGAAGUGGAGGAUGAGAUUGAACUGAAAAUGAAGGUUGCAUGGGAGGUUCAAGAGGCAAAGGGUGAUACAAAAUGUUGUAGAUCAAAUGUUAGUAAACCCGCAUGAAGCAAAAUUACUGGCUCUCCCUCACGGUUUGCGAUCUUUGAAGAAGAUGAAGGAGAAGGAAAUAGUUUGGCAGUACAAAUAGACACAGAUAGUUAUUCAAAUUUCCACUUAACUUGAAAGAGAAGAAGGGGAGACUGAACAUGUGUCAGUCAGUCAAACGAUGGAGGAAGAAAUCCAAAAGGAGAAACACGAGGAGAAACAGCUUAUCUCAUAUUUUCAUCGAAAUGUAAAAACAAAAAAUUCAGAUUGUUUUGAUUCAAACACUGCAAAUGCAAAGGAUCUAGCUCCUAGCGUAGCAGGUAGAAGAAGAAUCACCCAGAAGAAAUAAUCAUGUCAGCUUUGUGUUGGGUUCCUCCUAGUGGGGAAACCCAAUGGUGUGAUUGUGGUGAAAAUGAGAAGUUAAUCUAGAGGAUCAAAGUGACCACUUGAGAAAUUCAUCUUGAGCAAACUUUGAUGCUCUAGGUAACACAAUCACAUAUUUUAAGUUUGGGCCAAUGAUAUUUAUCCAUGAGAUGGUAUUGGGCAUUGGUGGGUUAGUGAGACAGGACUAUAUAACCUAAUUUUGUGGUAAGCUAAGCAAAAAGAAAGCAAGAACUAAGAAAAGGAAGCACAAGAGAGAAAGGAGAUAAAGAGGAAAGUCGUCUUGGUUUGUCAAGGCAGGGUUUGGAGGGUCAAACGGAUCCUGAUCUGGCUGAUACUUUGUGGGAAGCUUCGUCAUUCAGUUGGUUAGAGGUUCACCAAAGGGAUUUGGAUUUCAACGGUUGGAUCUUCUGAGAUAUGGGUUUUAGUGAAGCUGGUUGUCAGUAUUUUUCAGCAGUUCUGUCUUGAGUGUUUGGUAAAUUUGACGGUGAGGUCUUCUCUGUUUUGAGCUGGGAUUUGGCAGAGGUACUACUGGGUUGUUGCUGCUGGUCUUGAAGCUUUGUGUUGCUCUCUUGUGGUUGUGUUCUUGUGUUGGAGAUAGCUUUUGUAGCUGAGUCUCUGUUCUGUUCAGGUUGUUGAACAGGGAGGACGUGGUUGUACUCACAUACAUUUAUAUAGUGGAUUGUUGAGUGGACUACGGUCCCGUGGUUUUUUUCUUCUCACAUCGAGUAGGUUUUCUACGUAAAAAGUGUUUGUCUCAUUUAGUUAUUGCUUAUACUAUAUCCUGCUAUCUUCGAAGUAUUUUCCUCUCAGAUUCUCACAAGGUCAGGGGGAACACGAUAGUACAUUCCGCUGCACUGUGUGUUUUAACCCCAUCAAAGUGGUAUCAGAGCUUUUGGUUUUAGAGCUUUGGGGUUGAUAACUUCGGGUUAUGGUUGCUUGUGAGAAUGAUGGAAAAUACGAGCAGGGUGAUAAGCUUGAAUGGUGCUAAAUAUCAUCUAUGGAAGGGUAAGAUGGAGGAUUUUCUCUUUGUUAAAGAAUUCCAUUUUCAAGUCUUCGAGGAGAAGAAAUCUGAGAAGAAGACGGAUAAAGAGUGGAAGCUUCUGCAUCGCCAAGUGUGUGGGUUGAUAAGGCAGUGGGUAGAUGAUAAUGUGUUGCAUCAUAUUGAGACUGAGACGGAUGCUCGUUCUUUGUGGAAGAAGCUGGAGCAGUUGUAUGCAAGGAAGACCGGAAACAACAAGAUGUACAUGAUCAAGAAGUUGAUUGAGCUGAGGUAUCAGGAGGAAACUCCGAUGACGGGUCACUUGAAUCGUUUUAGGGAUUGCUCAACAAGCUGUCUGAUAUGGGCAUCAAGUUUGAUGAUGAGAUUCACGGUCUAUGGCUUCUCGGUACUUUACUGGAUUCUUGAGAGGUUUUUAGGAUGUCUCUUUGUAACUCCGUGUCGGAAGGUGUUAUUUCGAUGGAUUCAGUGAAGAACAGUGUUCUUAAUGAGGAAGCAAGAAGACAGUCGAACGCUAGCAGUUCGUGUUCAGAUGUCUUUGUUACUGAGUCAAGGGGGAGGAGUUCGAGUAGAGAUCCCAGAGAGACAAGAACAGGAGCAGGAGAAAAUCUAAUAAAUUUGCUAACAUGGAGUGCUAUUUCUGUCACAAGAAAGGGCACAUGAAGAAGGAUUGUUGGAAGUUGAAAAACAAGCAGCAAGGAAAUCAAGAAGAAAAAGUGGAUCGGGUGACUGUCACCGAAGAUCAGUUUUUCAUUCUUCUUGAGGGUGAUGCCAUUAAUGUUGCAUGCCAAAACACCAGUUGGGUGAUUGAUAGUGGAGCUACUACUCAUGCAACAUCACAGCGGGAUUUGUUUUCUACCUAUACUACGGGUAAUUAUGGUUCCGUGAAGAUGGGAAAUGAUGCAAUGGCUCAGGUUGCUGGCAUUGGCGAUAUAUGCUUGGAGACUAGUCUUGGGACUAGGUUGAUGCUUAAGGAUGUUAAGCAUGUCCCUGAUAUUAGGAUGAAUCUGAUAUCAACGGGAAGGCUUGAUGAUGAGGGUUAUUUCAGUUUGCACGGUGGUGGUAAAUGGAAGCUCUCUCGCGGUGCUUUGAUUGUGGCUCGAGGUGAGAAAUCCUCAUCCUUCUAUUAGAUGCAGGCUAAGGUCUCCAAAGACGCUGUUAAUGCGGUGGAGAAUGAUGGUGCCAUGGAGUUAUGGCAUAAGAGACUCGGUCACAUGAGUGAGAAGGGAAUGUCUGUGUUGUCUAAGAAUGAGGUGAUUCCAGGAAUCUGUGGUUUGCACCUGCAGAAGUGAUCGCAUUGCUUUGCGGGAAAACAACACAAGGUGUCUUUCAAGUCUUAUGCGCCUUCUAGGAAACCCGAGGUACUCGAUUUGGUACAUUCAGAUGUGUGUGGUCCAAUGAAGACAAGAUCCAUUUGCAGCGCAUCAUAUUUUGUGACUUUCAUUGAUGAUCAUUCAAGGAAGUUGUGGUUAUUUCCUAUGAGGACGAAGGAUCAGGUGCUGGGAUAUUUCAACCAUUUUGUGGCGUUGGUAGAGAGACAAACGGGAAAGAAGCUGAAGUGUAUCCGCAGUGAUAAUUGUGGAGAGUAUUCUGGACCAUUUGAUGCUUAUUGUAAAGAGCAUGGAAUAAGACAUCAGUUCACGCCACCAUGAUGAUCUAAUUAGGAUUUAGUACUCCCGGUGAAGAAACCCGUGAGAAAGCUGUUGCUGAUUCCAAGCGGAUCGAUUAUCUCUGCAGUCAUCUAUGUUUUCUCCGCAAGGUCAUCAGGUGAGUGGAAGCUACUUUAUUUUUUUCUCUUUUGAAUUUGAUGUAUGGUCAUCAUCAUGCACAUGCUUUGAAUUAUGUUUUUUUUUUCUGUUUCCAGGGAGAAGGGUGUCAACAUAAAAGGAUACUUUGCAUGGGCUCUUGGAGAUAAUUAUGAAUUCUGCAAAGGUUUUACCGUUAGAUUCGGACUUAGUUACGUUAACUGGACAGACCUCAAUGAUAGAAAUCUCAAAAAAUCUGGCAAAUGGUACCAAAGCUUUAUUAACGGUACCACUAAGAACCCUGCCAAACAAGAUUUCUGCCCCCCAAACCUCUCCUUCCAGAACCAGAAGAAGAAGCUCUCAGAUGCAUGAAACACUUUAUCCCACCAUCAUGAUCAUCUUCAUAUCUCUACUACUUGCUUCAUAGAUAAGGGGCUUGUUGUACUAAAUAAAUAUUCCAAUAAAAGAUGAUCAUUUUUACUAAUGAAUAUUUUAGUUU
rnacentral:lncRNA from 1 species